rnacentral:rRNA from 1 species
CUUUCUUUGCUGGCGACCGGCGCACGGGUGAGUAACACGUAUCCAACCUGCCCUUUACUCGGGGAUAGCCUUCCGAAAGAAAGAUUAAUACCCGAUAGCAUAAUGAUUCCGCAUGGUUUCAUUAUUAAAGGAUUCCGGUAAAGGAUGGGGAUGCGUUCCAUUAGGUUGUUGGUGAGGUAACGGCCCACCAAGCCUUCGAUGGAUAGGGGUUCUGAGAGGAAGGUCCCCCACAUUGGAACUGAGACACGGUCCAA